rnacentral:rRNA from 1 species
UACGUAGGGGGCGAGCGUUGUCCGGAAUUACUGGGCGUAAAGGGUGCGUAGGCGGCGCCUUAAGUCAGAUGUGAAAUAUCCAUGCUUAACGUGGAGGGUGCAUUUGAAACUGGGGCGCUUGAGUGCAGGAGAGGAAAGUGGAAUUCCUAGUGUAGCGGUGAAAUGCGUAGAUAUUAGGAGGAACACCAGUGGCGAAGGCGACUUUCUGGACUGUAACUGACGCUGAGGCACGAAAGCGUGGGGAGCAAACAGGAUUAGAUACCCUGGUAGUCCACGCCGUAAACGAUGGAUACUAGGUGUAGGGGGCGAUAGCCCUCUGUGCCGCAGCAAACGCAAUAAGUAUCCCGCCUGGGGAGUACGAUCGCAAGGUUGAA